UAUUUAUUAGAUAACAGACCAAUAUUCCUCGUGUCUAUUGUGGUGACUCAUAGUAACUGAUCGGAUCGCAUGGCCUUGUGCCGCGACUAACCAUUCAAGUUUCUGACCCAUCAGCUUUCGAUGGUAGUGUAUUGGACUACCAUGGCUUUCACGGGUAACGGAGGAUUAGGGUUCGAUUCCGGAGAGGGAGCCUGAGAAACGGCUACCACAUCUAAGGAAGGCAGCAGGCGCGUAAAUUACCCAAUCCUGACUCAAGGAGGUAGUGACAAGAAAUAACGGGUCGGGGCAUUCGCCUCGGGAUUGCAAUGAAUCGAAUUUACACCCCUUAAUGAGGAUCAAUUGGAGGGCAAGUCUGGUGCCAGCAGCCGCGGUAAUUCCAGCUCCAAUAGCGUAUAUUAAAGUUGUUGCAGUUAAAAAGCUCGUAGUUUGAUUUCUGGACGGGCGCCAACACCCACUUGUUUAGUGUGGAGGCGGCGCCCGCCCAUCCUUCUGUUAACGCCACCGGCAUUCAUUUGCUGGCGGCGGGCUCAGAUAUUUUACCUUGAGAAAAUUAGAGUGUUUCAGGCAGGCUUGCGC
rnacentral:rRNA from 1 species